GAUCCUCGCAAGCUUUUUUUCCUUUUCGUUAACCAUACCUCUUGUCAAGCGCACUUGAAGCGAUAUUUACAGAUGGCUAAAUCUCAGAAAAAUUAUUGAGCUUGAAGACCCCCGACCCUUGAUAACGUCGCAGAAACCAAAGUAGGAAAGGUUACCAAGCUAUUUUCGACACGGAGAUGAAAAGAUGAAGGCGAAAAUGGCGGAGCAAACAGCAGAUUUCAUAGCGCUUUUGUUGGCAUUUGUGGCGAGACUCCGUUCUUAAUAUGGCGUCAACAUGGUAAAAAGCGUAGCGACUUGAUCAAAAGUGAAUAAUUUGGCCGUUUCUAAAGAUAUGGACCCGAAAACUUGGAAAUGACAAGAGAAAGUUAUGAGCAUUGAAGUGUAAUCGAUUUCGAAACCCGACUUUGCCGUGUUUGAAGUAUAGUAGCGAAGGAGCAGGAUUCCAGUUCAGUCAUUCUGCGGACAACAACUUGGUGUACUUCCAAAUUCUGAAACCCAGCGUUACACAAAGGAUACUUAAGAAUGAUGAAUCUUUUCUAUGCGUUUUAAUAAACUUGAAAUGUCAAAGUUUUGCUCAAA